UACGGGGGGGGGCAAGCGUUGUUCGGAAUUACUGGGCGUAAAGGGCUCGUAGGCGGCCAACUAAGUCAGACGUGAAAUCCCUCGGCUUAACCGGGGAACUGCGUCUGAUACUGGAUGGCUUGAGUUUGGGAGAGGGAUGCGGAAUUCCAGGUGUAGCGGUGAAAUGCGUAGAUAUCUGGAGGAACACCGGUGGCGAAGGCGGUCUCCUGGGGCGAUUCUUGACGCUGAGGCGCGAAAGCUGGGGGAGCAAACAGG
rnacentral:rRNA from 1 species